ACAGACACUUAACAGCACUGUAUUUACAGUAGUUAUUGUAAUUGGAAAAUUCGCGGUGUAGAAUUAGAUUUUAGCGGUGGUCCCAGUGUCGGACAAACACUUGUGGAGCGAUUGCUGCGCCACUAUGGUGUCCUUGUGAGGCAGUGCAGCCACGUGGAAGAACAUCUCGAGUGCCUCCUUGAAGAGUUCAAUAGCCUCUCCGGUUUUCUGGGCCUCCAUGGCCCGCGCAGCUUCUCGAUACAGCUCCUCGAUCUUGAUCAAUUUGGCCACGCUCUCCUUGAGUGAGAUGUUCUUGCGGCAGCGAGGACAACGCACAUCCUUCGCCAAGUCCUUGGGGAACUUGAGCAAGUUAGAGCAGUUGGCUGAGGUGCACCUUCAAGAAUGGAAUAUUCAAAUGUUGUGUUAUAUCAGUU